AACGAACGCUGGCGGCAUGCCUAACACAUGCAAGUCGAACGAGACCUUCGGGUCUAGUGGCGCACGGGUGCGUAACGCGUGGGAACCUGCCCUUAGGUCCGGAAUAACUCCCCGAAAGGGGUGCUAAUACCGGAUAAUGUCUUCGGACCAAAGAUUUAUCGCCUUUGGAUGGGCCCGCGUUGGAUUAGCUAGUUGGUAGGGUAAAAGCCUACCAAGGCGACGAUCCAUAGCUGGUCUGAGAGGAUGAUCAGCCACACUGGGACUGAGACACGGCCCAGACUCCUACGGGAGGCAGCAGUGGGGAAUAUUGGACAAUGGGCGAAAGCCUGAUCCAGCAAUGCCGCGUGAGUGAUGAAGGCCUUAGGGUUGUAAAGCUCUUUUACCCGGGAUGAUAAUGACAGUACCGGGAGAAUAAGCUCCGGCUAACUCCGUG
rnacentral:rRNA from 1 species